CAAUUACUAACCUAAGUCAUUAAGGUACUAACUUAGGUCCUAAGG
rnacentral:sRNA from 1 species